UAUUGAUUUUAGCAAUUACCUGUCAAAGUAAAAUCAACAGCUGAGUGGGGCAGAUCGAGCGGGGAGUCUGCUACGGGUAAGGUGAAAAGUGGAAUCCGUGUCUGGGUAUCGUCAUGCAGUUUGACUUUUCAAUUUGCGGUUGGAGAAAAAAACGUGGUUUGCUGUCUGAGUAUCUGAUAUUCGGACAAAACUCAAAAAUACGAGGGUCGAAGAUCUCUGGAAACCCGAAUAAUAUUUGGUGAAUUGUUUCAUUUGCAUUUGCAUUUCCUCUGUUUUAAUAUGUAUCGACAAUUAUAGGUUAUAGGCCUUACAAUAAUGAAGUAUAUUGUCUCCUUAAAACUUAAGUUUUCUUAAUUUUCAGGGAUGGAUUUGAAGCGAUUGUGGUGAUUUUUUGUUAAUAGGUGGGUAGUAUCUUUAUAUAUUAUCCUACCAAAAAUGAGCCUUAGAUCGGAUGGAGACCAAGAAAACACUCUGGUACACACUUCAUAGGGUUUUAAGUACUUCACUCGCCCUGUCUCAUACAUAACGUAAACCAUUUACGACUGUAAUAUACCUUUUCUGCUCCAAGGUAUACAGAAAACCUAAACUAAAUAAAAGUGUUGUCGUGACAAAGUCGUUAGAAGCUGCCGCCCCAUACUAAUAGAUAGGGAGGAGGUCUCAAUAAGGGUUUAUUAUACUGUCCAGCGAUAGGCAUGCACACACAUGGCCAGCCAGUGUCGCCACACAUACAGCGAACGAAAUUCGCGAGAACAAUUUUAAUGUAAAUAUUUACUUAUAAGAGGCACAGUGCUGUUGUUGUUUUCUUGCAAAGAGCAGCACAGCGAAGAGAGAGAGAGAGAGAGUCAGUAAGAGCGGAAGAGAGCGACACGUUGUGGUGAUGACCACAUCAUACCGGUAAAUUGAUGUGAAAUAUACAUAUA